ACUCCUACGGGAGGCAGCAGUGGGGAAUAUUGCACAAUGGGCGCAAGCCUGAUGCAGCCAUGCCGCGUGUAUGAAGAAGGCCUUCGGGUUGUAAAGUACUUUCAGCAGUGAGGAAGGCGGGGUACGUUAAUAGCGUGCUCGUUUGACGUUAGCUGCAGAAAGAAGCACCGGGCUAAACUCCGUGCCAGCAGCCGCGGUAAUACGGAGGGUGCGAGCGUUAAUCGGAAUUACUGGGCGUAAAGCGCAUGCAGGUGGUUUGUUAAGUCAGAUGUGAAAGCCGGCU
rnacentral:rRNA from 1 species